GAAUCGCUAGUAAUCGUAGAUCAGCAUGCUACGGUGAAUACGUUCCCGGGUCUUGUACACACCGCCCGUCACACCACGAGAGUUUGUAACACCCGAAGCCGGUGGAGUAACCUUUUAGGAGCUAGCCGUCGAAGGUGGGACAAAUGAUUGGGGUGAAGUCGUAACAAGGUAGCCGUAUCGGAAGGUGCGGCUGGAUCACCUCCUUU
rnacentral:rRNA from 1 species